UGUAUUAAACUGAGAUAUUUUACUGUUUCAUGAGAUCAUUUUGUAUUUGAUGGCAGCAGAUCUCAGGUCAGUGACAUGAUCGGGUACAAAGAGUCUGAGAGAGGCCGAGUUUCUCUGAAAUAAACAAGUUGAUCAGUCUGCACAUCUGCAGAGGCUCCAUCAGAGCUGACAGGUGGAUGCAGAGGAAACAUGAGCCCGUCCAGCGUUUACAGACGUGUUGCUGCCAUCAGAUUCAAAAUGAGCUCUCUCAGUUUAAACAUGUGAAAUGUUUUCUAUCUUCUAUUGUGAAUAAAAUGUGGCUUCAUGAGAUUUGAACAUUAUUUGACACCAACGACCUUUUUGCAGCUGUAAAUGUUUAGUUUGUCACAACCAGAUCAAAAAGUAAGAACUUGUUGUGAUUUGUGUAAAAUGUGUGAGGCUGAGUUCCUGCUGUCACUGAUGCAGCUCACAUGUAUCAGCCUCACCCUCCUCGUGCUUCAUGCUGCCUGGAUUUAAUCCUCACUUCCUUUCUGUGGCUCUUUGUAAGAUCUCUGAUCACUUUCAUUAAAGUUCUCACUGACUGUUGGAUCUCUUCAUAUUUUACAGUGAUGAGAUUUUCUGCUUCUGAGGAAGUGAAGAAGAACCUGACGGGCACUGUGGGAGGAAACAUCACUCUACCUGCACCUGUGCAGGAGAAAGCAUUUCUGUCAUAUGGAGGAAAGAAUAUUGCUGAUGUGAAUAAGGGGGAAUUUGAAAUAUUUGGGGAAAUUUACAUGAACCGACUUCAGUGGGACAGAAACUCUGGACUCUUUACACUCACAGAGCUGCAGAGGGACGACUCAGGGAUUUAUACUGUCGACUCUAAAACAGGAAACGUUUUCACAUCAUCAUAUAAGCUGACAGUGUACGACUCUGUACCGACUCCUGCAGUGAAGAAAGUGAGUGUGAGCUCUGAGAGCUGCUCCUUACUGUGUUUGGUGGACAGAGAGACCACACUGCUGUGGUUUAAAGACGAGCAGAGACUGAACCAGAGCAGCUCUGCGCUCUCUCUGCCUCUCACUGUGCACAAACAGGACUUCAGCUCCUCUUACAGAUGUGUGGCUGCAAACCCUGCAGACGAGAAAACUCUUCCUGUCCCUGUGAAUACGACCUGUGGAGACACAGACGACACAGGUAAGACUGAAUCUGCUGUGAACCUUCGUGUUUCAGGCUGAUGUGCUGAUGUGAACGUGUGUGUCAGGUGACAGGAACACAGACUCCUGGUUGUUCCUGGUUCCCAUGGCUGUGUGUUGGAGUGCUGUUGUUGUUUCGAUGGUUCUGAUGGAGGGGAAGAGAGAGGCUGAGACGGCUUCACCAUCAGCUGUGCACUCACAUCAGUACGAACUCUGCUGCCUACAUGAUAACAAAGCACACAUACACUGUGUGUGUUUUAUAUUAUCCCUCCUUAUUUUACAUAUAUCUUCCUUAUUUUCUAUUUCAUCUUAACAGGUGUGACCUUCACUGAAACACUGGAAAUAACAACGCUUUUAGGUGCAGUUUGAAAUCGUCUUCUAAACCCGAGGAGAGGAACGUGAUCCAGAGCACAGCUGACCUCAAAAUGCAUGUUUUAGAGCAGAUUUUAGCUCUAAAUAUAUUAUUUCAUGCAGGUUUUCCCAGCAUAUAUCUUAUUACCAUUACUCUUCUGACUACACACAGUUAUACCCCCUGCCCCUCUGUGAUUUAAACGCAGCUCACACAGUAUAAAGGCUAACUCCAGCUGGAUGGAUAAAAUCGAAACAUAAAAGAAACAUAAAUGUUCUUUUGAAAUGUUGCACAGAUUUGAAACUCUGAGGUGAUCACAGGCCUCAUUCUCACAUGAGCAGCAUAGUUAAAACCUGCUUUUUACCAUCAGUGAAUGUGCAUGAAAUGCUGAAUGCUUCUGAUCCUGGAGGAUUGUAACUCACUGCUCACAGGAAUCACAAAACAGCAGCAGACUCUGCUUCAGCUCCUGGGUUUGAGUUUAAAAUGGGAAUCCGUCUACGAGCUGCACUGAGAUCAUCACAUCAGGUUUCCAGUUAGUUUUGUGGUUGAUUUUUAAAUCUCAGGGAUGUUUUUAAGGCCUGUGUGUCUGGGAGCUCAGUAUCUCUCUGCUGCUCUCACCUCCAUCGCGUUUAAAGGAGAAGUGGAGAGGAGAGGUGGACUGAUGUUUCCUCAACUCAUCUCUAAUCACACCUGAGAGGUUAAAGGUCAGCAUCCAGCCUUUUGUGUUUGAAAUGAUGAAGAGUACUAUAAACUAACAGAGUUUAUCUACAUGUGCUUUUGGUAAAAAUAAAUCCUCUUUAUUAUUAAUCAAAGAAGAGUUUCUGUUGUAUUGUUG
rnacentral:lncRNA from 1 species